rnacentral:tRNA from 2 species
GUCCUUUUAGUUCAAGGGAUAGAACAGACCCCUUCUAAGGGUUAGAUGCUGGUUCGAAUCCAGCAAGGGACA